ensembl:lincRNA
CUUUCUUUGAUCACUAACUCCUUCAAGACAUUGUAUUUUAUGCAGGUGGGAUAACGUUUCUGUCCUCAGAAUUGUUGAAAUUGAAAUGGCAUGAAAAGAAUAAAAAGGCUGAAUAAAAAAUGACCUCAGAAUGUGAUGAGUAUCUCAAGACACAUAUUCAGUAGGAUAAAAAUAGUUGUUUAAAUAAAAAGGACCCAAGUUCAAUCUCCGAUACCCCCCAAAAAAAAUAAAAAGAAAAGUACUACAAUAAAAGAUACACAACCAUUAAUCUUCCUCAAAGUAUUUUCUCAGACUUCUAACACACAUAUCCCUUCGUUCCUGCCACUUUCUGAGUUCUGGAAGUUCUCUUUUGUGCCUUUUGUGGCUGCCACGAUGUCCUGCACAAUUGAAAACAUUGUUAUUUAAAAGUUUAUGGCGAUUUUUAUCAAAUAAAGACACUUCAGCGCAUUCUCACCCAUUUGUUUACUGAAUCUGGCAUGAAGAAAUUUCUAGCUCUUCCCCCAAAUCCAAAUGACCAAGAAAGGGGAACGUGGAACCUGUUCAGGACACUGAGGCAGCCAUGAGUGUAGCUAAAAAUAUUCAUGAAAGAGGACUUCCAGAACUGCUUCAGAAAGUGGAAAGAAUGAUGCGAAAAUGUGUUUAAAAUAUGCUUGAGAUGAGUGCUUUGAGUGGCAUUGAUGGCAAUAUGUCUUCUACUGUAAUAAUUUUAAAAGUUUAAACAUUUGCUGUAGGGUCUUAAAAAACAUACUGUGCUAUGUGUUGACUCACAGAAGAGGAAGCAGACAUACCACUACAGUAGAUACACCCCUGAAGUUUCACUAUUUUAUUUUUAAAAUCAGCAACUUCACCUUCCUUUGUGAAUAGAGUGAACAAAAUUUCUUUAACUUCUGAAAGUACUCCUCACUACUUACCCAGGCUUGUUUUCCAGUGGCUGCAGACAGCACUUCCUCAACAGAAGAAUGAAGGCCACCUCUGCCCUUCUCCACAGGAUCCCGAGCGUGAGUGGUGUUGGCCCCUGGAGCCUGCUACAAAGGGCAAAUCCUUAGAACUGGAAGAGGAAAAACUACCCAGUGGAAAGUCAACAUUUGAAAUUUAAGACUGGAGCAUGAUUUGGACAAAGUAAGGAUGCCAAGUUGUAUCUGCCGAUACCACUGCUGUCACUCAGAAGCUUUCUCACACUCCUCCUCCAGCAGCAAAAAACAAAGUGUCUAAGCUCAGCCAAAGCAGGACCAAUGAUGACAUGGAGCGACAGAACUUUCAGUGCACAGGAGACGGUUUAGUUAGUUCUUGCACUGGAGCCCUAUAAGACACAUAUGGAGCAUUCAGUCUAUGAAUGAAGCAAGUGUGAUCUUCAGGGAGAGCUGGCCAAAGCGUUAAAGUGCAUGGAUUUCAGAUAAGUCAGUGUGAACAUGUGGCGCUGUGUGAAUAAAAUGUGAUAGUGCCUAUCAGAACGAGCCUACAUCAUAUUCUUACUGACACAUCAAGCAAAGCUUUCCGUUCUGAGCCUGCCUAUUGGAUUUUGUUCUCAAUUGUUUCAUGAUAACUUGCUCCUGAAUUUUAAAACCAAACACUCCUCAUUUUCUCAUCAGGAAAGAUUUAAAGAAAGCACCAUGCAUUUAAGAGUCCAC